rnacentral:lncRNA from 1 species
UUCUAAAUUUUUAGCUUAUAUUAAAGUCUUAUAUUGUGAUAUUGAGAGUAUUCUGAAAAUUAAUGGUGGCUUAUGUGCUCCUUUUAAAGUGUGUCGUGGAGUAAGACAAGGUUGUCAGGGUUAAGGGUUAUUGUAUACUCUUGCGAUAGAACCACUUUUAAGUGUUUUAAGGAGAGUUUUAGACCUUUACCAAUUACCAAAUUGUAAUACAACUUUAUGUCUGUCUGCAUAUGCAGAUGAUGUUAUUAUAAUGAUUAAUAAGCAAAGUGAUGUAGAUGUAUUACUAAAGUCAUUAAAAGAUUUUGGUCUAAUUUCCUCUGCAAAGAUUAACUGGAAUAAAAGUGAGGCAGUUUUGACAAGAGAGUGGAAAAGUAGAGUACCAAAUCUUCCAGAUGGUUUAUGUUGGACAAGAGAUGGUUUGAAAUAUCUGGGAGUAUAUUUUGGUAACGAGACAACAGCUCAAAAAAAUUGGAUUGGAACAGUUGAAAAGAUUAAGAGCCGACUCGAAAAAUGGAAAUGGCUUGUACCAAAUUUAUCAUACAGAGUACGUGCUUUGGUUAUUAACAAUUUGGUGGCUUCUUCUUUGUGGCAGCGAAUGGUUUGCAUUGAUCCACCGGCUUAUUUACUUGGGAAAAUCCAGUCUGUUUUAUUAGAUUUUUUUUGGGACAAGUUACACUGGAUACCACACAACAUUUUGUAUUUAAAAAAAGAAGGAGGCCAAGGACUUAUACAUGUACAAAGCAGGACUGCAGCUUUUCGGCUACAAUUCAUACAACGAUUUCUCACUAGUUCAGAAAACUUUGCUUGGAAAUCAGUGGCCUGUACUAUUCUUAAAUCUGUUGACGAACUCUGUUUGGAUAAACAUUUAUUUUUGAUGAAUCCAAAAAGAAUUAAUACAUCGAGGCUUCCUGUUUUUUAUAAAAAUUUGUUUAAAGUAUGGGACCUUUUUAAAGUGAAAAGAACUGAGAAUACAAAUUCUCUUUUUUGGUUAUUGGAAGAACCNNNNNNNNNNNN